GAUUGAACGCUGGCGGCAUGCCUUCCACAUGCAAGUCGAACGGUAACGGGCCUUCGGGUGCCGACGAGUGGCGAACGGGUGAGUAAUACAUCGGAACGUGCCCGAUCGUGGGGGAUAACGAGGCGAAAGCUUUGCUAAUACCGCAUACGAUCUACGGAUGAAAGCAGGGGACCGCAAGGCCUUGCGCGGACGGAGCGGCCGAUGGCAGAUUAGGUAGUUGGUGGGAUAAAAGCUUACCAAGCCGACGAUCCGUAGCUGGUCUGAGAGGAUGAUCAGCCACACUGGGACUGAGACACGGCCCAGACUCCUACGGGAGGCAGCAGUGGGGAAUUUUGGACAAUGGGCGCAAGCCUGAUCCAGCCAUGCCGCGUGCAGGAUGAAGGCCUUCGGGUUGUAAACUGCUUUUGUACGGAACGAAAAGCCUUCUUUUAAUACAGGAGGGUCAUGACGGUACCGUAAGAAUAAGCACCGGCUAACUACGUG
rnacentral:rRNA from 1 species